rnacentral:misc_RNA from 1 species
GGGGUUUUGGUUUUCCCC